rnacentral:rRNA from 1 species
AUACCGGAUGGCAUAGUUUUCCCGCAUGGGAUAAUUAUUAAAGAAUUUCGGUUGUCGAUGGGGAUGCGUUCCAUUAGGCAGUUGGCGGGGUAGCGGCCCACCAAACCUACGAUGGAUAGGGGUUCUGAGAGGAAGGUCCCCCACAUUGGAACUGAGACACGGUCCAAACUCCUACGGGAGGCAGCAGUGAGGAAUAUUGGUCAAUGGACGAGAGUCUGAACCAGCCAAGUAGCGUGAAGGAUGACUGCCCUAUGGGUUGUAAACUUCUUUUAUACGGGAAUAAAGUGAGCCACGUGUGGCUUUUUGUAUGUACCGUAUGAAUAAGGAUCGGCUAACUCCGUGCCAGCAGCCGCGGUAAUACGGAGGAUUCGAGCGUUUAUCCGGAUUUAUUGGGUUUAAAGGGAGCGUAGGCGGGUUGUUAA